UACGUAGGGAGCAAGCGUUGUCCGGAAUCAUUGGGCGUAAAGAGCGCGUAGGCGGUCCGGUAAGUCGGUUGUGAAAACUGGGGGCUCAACCCUCAGAGGCCGACCGAUACUGUCGGGCUAGAGUCCGGAAGAGGCGAGUGGAAUUCCUGGUGUAGCGGUGAAAUGCGCAGAUAUCAGGAGGAACACCAAUUGCGAAGGCAGCUCGCUGGGACGUUACUGACGCUGAGACGCGAAAGCGUGGGGAGCAAACAGG
rnacentral:rRNA from 1 species